rnacentral:tRNA from 1 species
AGGAGUUUAGGUUAAUUAUAGACCAAGAGCCUUCAAAGCUCUAAGCAAAUACUAAUUAUUUAACUCUUG